CAACUUGAGAGUUUGAUCCUGGCUCAGAGCGAACGCUGGCGGCAGGCUUAACACAUGCAAGUCGAAGGUGAAGCGGGACUUCGGUCCCGUGGAAACUGGCGGACGGGUGAGUAACGCGUAGGGAUGUGCCUAUGAGUACGGAAUAACCGUUGGAAACGACGGCUAAUACCGUAUACGCCCCCCGGGGGAAAGCUCCGGCGCUCAUAGAGCAACCUGCGUCCGAUUAGCUUGUUGGUGGGGUAACGGCCUACCAAGGCUGCGAUCGGUAGCUGGUCUGAGAGGAUGGUCAGCCACACUGGGAC
rnacentral:rRNA from 1 species